rnacentral:rRNA from 1 species
GACGAACGCUGGCGGCGUGCUUAACACAUGCAAGUCGAACGGUGAAGCGCCUUCCUUUUUGGUGGGUGUGGAUGAGUGGCGAACGGGUGAGUAACACGUGAGUAACCUGCCCCCUUCUUCUGGAUAACCGCAUGAAAGUGUGGCUAAUACGGGAUAUUCUGGGUCUGUCGCAUGAUGGGUCUGGGAAAGAUAUUGUUUCGGUGGGGGAUGGGCUCGCGGCCUAUCAGCUUGUUGGUGGGGUGAUGGCCUACCAAGGCGGUGACGGGUAGCCGGCCUGAGAGGGUGGACGGUCCCACUGGGACUGAGACACGGCCCAGACUCCUACGGGAGGCAGCAGUGGGGAAUAUUGCACAAUGGGCGCAAGCCUGAUGCAGCGACGCCGCGUGAGGGAUGGAGGCCUUCGGGUUGUGAACCUCUUUCGCCAGUGAAGCAGGCCUGCCUCGUUUGUGGGUGGGUCGACGGUAGCUGGAUAAGAAGCGCCGGCUAACUACGUG